CCCAUCACUCCAUACUGCAUUCUACUUUGGCACAACACAGGAGCAGCAAAUGAGAUAAAAAUUGUUUUGAUCAUUCUCUUCUCUGCUUCUCUCACUGCUUCUCUCAGGUUCAGAGAAUGUGAAUCCCACAGAAGUCAUCAAUUCAUUUAGCAGGAGCAUUGCUUUCACCUAUGCCAUCUGUGAUGUUUGUAUUUCUUGAUGACCUUUUCAACAGUUUGUUGUUCUCAUUCUUCUGGCCGUGUGAGAGAGAUGGAAUUCUCCAAGGAAAGCUACUUGAACAUAUGGCAAGCCUCCCAUUUCUAUUGUCGUCUUUUAGAAUGACAGGAGACGGAGCUUUUUCAUUAGGAAAGAGCUAAGUCUAGGCACUACAGGCUGUGCCUGGAGAAAGAACAAAGGCUUGACUCUUUAAUUUUAAACUCACUACAGGCCUGGCUCAUCUCUUCGUGUCCUUCAGGCCCUUCAGCAGAAGUGAUUGAAGUUCAGUGAGUGCUCCACAGCUGAGUGACAGCAAAACCUGCUGUCCUGCCCUCAUCAUCCCCUUAAACUGCUGUGGCACUUCGGGGAGCAAAAGGGAAAUAAAAAACCCAAAAAACCAACAAAAAACCACCAUACAAGUAGAAAAAGAGUGCGGGUCAAGUAGGUAGAGAGAGAAACAAAGACAAGAGUGCUUUAUGAGAGAGUGAGCACGGGGAGUGGCAGUGCCCAGCAGCCAAAGCUGCCAGACUGAUGGAACCUCAAUGGGAAGGAGCCUGGAGCAGGGCAGGAAGAGAAAUAGAGAUCCAAGGUCAAAGAGAGCAAAGGGCAACUGGAUGACUUAACCCUAGAGCCUAAGAUGGCACAAAGGAUGGGUUCAGCUGCAGGAAUAAUUGUCCCCUGUGAAUUUGUGGUGAUUUCUGAGACUCCUGGCUUAGCCCAUACCUGUGGUUUGGAGAGAGCCCAAGCCGAGCACUGGAGUGGGACUGCAGAAGGAUGUUGAGGAACAGUGGAUUGCAUAAAGACUUCUCCUCUGAGACUGUUUUCAUCCUUUUCUGACUUCCUGCUGUUGGCUUCUUCACUGGAAGGCAGCUGUGGGAAUUAUCUGACAAAGACAGAUCAUCUAGUGCUAAAAAUAAAUGAGAUAAAGAAAUUGAAAAUGCCAAUAUCAAACCAAGCCCAUCCCCAAAGAUGUUUUAUUAUAUUCCUUUAUCUGUGCCGUGGUGCCAGGGACACUUUCCUGCAGAGGUAGAAACAGGUAAAUCCAAGCAGGUUCUUUUUUCUGCUCACCUGAUUAUAUAGAAUACAUAUCCAAUUGAAUAUAUAGAGGGACUAAGAGACUUGUGAAACAGUUGAUUUUUUUAUGUUCAUUUAAACUGGAGGGCAGACAGCAGUGAGAAAGGACAGUGGAGCGAUUGUCUUCCUAGAGGAACAAUUUUCAAAAUUUGUAAAUGGUGUGGGAACAAAUGUUGCAUUAAACUUUCUUCAGCCUUUGUUGCAGAUCCCAUGAGCAUUAGCUAAAUAUUCACAGGGGAGGGUGAGAACCUCAUCAUACAAAACUCAUUUACAAAGAAAGGAAAAGUAAAAGCAAUAGAUGUUUAAUAUUCAGCAUAUUCACCACAACUGUUUUAUCACUGAAUAUCUGUUGCACAGGGAAGGGACUGUGUGCAAAUACUGAGCAUGGGGAUACAAUUGCUUCUUUCCCAGGGUGGAUUAGAACCCUGUGGGUGACUGACUCAGUUUUUUUGAACAUCCUCUGGGAAGUAGCCAAGGAGAAGUUUCUUGUUGAAAUGACAGAAAUUCUUUGACAUUAAAUGUUUUCUUGGAACAUAUGUUGAAAUGUCUCUACCAUUUCAGUGAUGAGCUUC